rnacentral:rRNA from 1 species
AUACAGAGGGUGCAAGCGUUAAUCGGAAUUACUGGGCGUAAAGCGCGCGUAGGCGGUUUGGUCAGGCGUGAAAGCCCCGGGCUCAACCUGGGAACUGCAUUUGAUACUGGCAUGACUAGAGGCCGGGAGAGGGUAGUGGAAUUCCCAGUGUAGAGGUGAAAUUCGUAGAUAUUGGGAAGAACACCAGUGGCGAAGGCGGCUACCUGGUCCGGUUCUGACGCUGAGGUGCGAAAGCGUGGGGAGCAAACAGGAUUAGAAACCCCAGUAGUCC